AAGACACCCACCACCACACCAACUGAGGCAUCUCCACAGCAAACACAGACUUUCACAAUGCCCUUCCAUGUCUUUGUGACAUUUCCAAGAGCAGAAGUUAUAUUUACAUUGUAUUGCAUAUGAUUCAAAUAUCUCUGUGUCUAGAGCUCUUUAAAUGCGUUUUUGUAAUGUUAAGUUCAACUAUAGUUCAAACUGAUACACACAAUCUCACCAGAUAUCAGGAGACGUGUUUGUUUUCCAUAUAGGUAGAUACUGAAGGGUUGUUAAUCACUGAUGUCACUUCCUCUGCCCAUAUGUGCACCACACACCUCUUGUUGCAUCACAGUCUCCAGUUAACCAGCUGAACAGCAGGUCACGUGUAUGAUGUGUGAACAUGCGAAGAUGUUCCAUCUUUUCACUUUUGAAUAGGUGACUGGCUCCUGAUCUGUCUGAGCUCAUCUGCUGGAUGCCUUCAAGGGAGGAUGAGCUCUGUAAUUAUAAGAGGUUAGACAUCAAACACAUAAACUUGUACAAGCACUCACACACACACACACACAUACUCUCUCUCUGUAAUGAUGUCAUACUUGUUUUUAUAGGUACUUCUGUCAUCUUCAAAGCUGCAGGAUGAGACAGAUUACCCUCAGUUGACCGUCUGCUGUGAUUGUUUGCAGCUUCACUGUUCUUUUGCUUGUUGCUUUUUCUUGUAAGAGUAGCACAGAUCAGAAAUUUCACUUACUGGCACAGUUGAGUAAUGAAAUUGUAAGUCACACACCAAACUGUUCUGGCUUUAUUACAGGAUAAUUUUGUUUCCACGAGUGUAAAGAGUGUGUUUUUAAUGGGCUUGUAACUCUGCUUACAGUGGUGAACGAUAAUGGUGUACCUACUUUGCGAUUUAACGUGGAAAGCUUUAGGAAACUCCUUUCAGUUCAUUCUUAAUGUUUUCUCCAUGCAGAAAAGUAUUCUGCUGGGAAAUAAUGUAAUAAGGUCUCUCAGUGUGCCUGUCUACAGACUGUGAGUCAUUCUCUGACAGCUUGGUUAUUUUUUUUUUUUUCUUUUUUAACAUUUUAAUUUUUGGUGUGUGAGUCACAGCCAGCCUGGAUUAUUACCUGAGCCGUAGCCAAAUAAGCUCUGUACUUUAUUAUUACAAUAAGUUUGCUUUAUUUGGUUGUCGGUCUGUGAGGUCAAAGAUGCACUCUGCUUAACCGUUAACAGUUACAUUCAAGUAGCAAACACACUGUAGCCUUGAAGUGUUGUGGUUGUAGCAUUUGGCUCUCUGUGGCAAAGCCAGUAAAACAUUCUGGCAUUUCCCCUCAGAAAACAGCACUGUGGCAAAUGGUCUGAGGAGGGCUGCCGUCAGUCUCACAUGGAGCCAAAUGGAAAGAAGCAUUCAGACUGAGACCAAAAAAGCCACUGGGAGAAUCACUGUCUGGGUGUGAACUGUGACCCAAGCUUCACUCAGCAGGCUGCUCAUCCCGGAGCUGUUGUGCCCUUCCUCCACCAUCUCCCCACUCUGAAUCAAGUCUCCGCAACCCUGCUGUGCUCAUGCUGGCACAGGUGAUUUCUAGAAGUGGUGUGAAAACAGAAUCCUGACAAAGGCUCCUCAGCUGACCACAUGCAUCACAUAAAUGCGGUGAAGGCUGGGAACAAACAUCGGCAUGCCAUACAGCAGACUCUGUUUGCUGAGGUGUAUUUCUGUGAACGUGUAUAUUUGUGGAGGUGUCUGAUCGUGUGUGUGUGUUGAAGGGGCUGAGGUUGUCUGUACACGAGUUCAUUUGUUACACAUCAGCACAGGCUUCUG